rnacentral:lncRNA from 1 species
AAUCAUCUUUUCUGGUUAAGUGAUUUCGUCAGCAAAUAAGAGAAAAUAGAAAUUCUGGAAUAUACCUAGGGUUUCUAGAUUUGGGAAUUUACCUAAUGAGAAAUCAGUCUCUCUGUUUCGAGAUUUGUAACUAUCAUGGCCGAGCGACCACGAUCACCUGAGAUAAUCGGAUUUUGCACCGGCGACGAUGCAAAUGUUUGGGUUUGACGAUAGACGAAGGAAUGUUAGGGCUUUGGGUGAUUUAAGGAUUUUAUUUAAUUCAAGUAAAGUGAAAAUAACUAAAGUAUCCCUAAGUUGGUUACGCAUUUUGAUGUCCAGAAUAGUUAAUUAAAUUUCUACUCGUGUAUUUAUGGUAUGCAUGAGUUACUUUCUCAACCGUUAGUGUGGAGACAAACGAAAGCAGGAUAAAGUUCGACGCAAAAUUUUAUUAGCAUACAAACGUAAGUACACUAUUGAAUAUGAAUAUGCCUUAAACAACCGCCUUUUUUCCGGGGAUAAUCACAUUAUAUAUAAAAUAAUACAACAAAAGAAUAGAAGUACAAGUAGAAAGGCAGUAUCUAGGUUGUCUCUGCUACUCGGCUUCCAGUUCCACCCAAAAAACUGCUCAAACAUCUUCGUUCAGGUAACCAAUCGCAGACUCUGUUAUUGCUUUAACUAAUUUAUCACAUUACCAUAAUUUCCAGAACACCUUGCGCUUGUUCAAUGGGUUGUUCAACUUGAGGAGGAGCCAGCAGAUGUGCGUUGACAGAGGUGACAAUGACGACAGUGAGACGUCGAAGCCAGUAGAAGAAGUGCUGAAACAGGGAAGCUAACAUUGCAUAACAGAGUGAUAAGAUUAUGAGGCACAAAUAGGCUACCAAGAACAGAGACGGAGCCAAAAUGACAGAGGCGACUGCUGAGACAGCCAAUAGAACAGAGAGUUCUCCACAACUCACGGAAAUGGGUCGGCUCACUUUGAGAGGGACUCUGAUGGGUGUGAGGAGGAAGAGCAGUAAUGGGAUGACGACGGCGGGAAUCAGGAACCAGAACUGAAGCUUUAAAAUUGGAUACAAAAGUAUCUUACUCGUACCAUCUUGGACGUCCCAAGAGUUGCCAUCCUGAGACUUGAGGAACAGAAAAAAGAUUAUAAGAUUCAGCAAUGGAAGAACUAGAAACCUCAAAUCGAUUGAAAAAUUCAUGCUUGUGAGUAUAAGACUUGGCCGAGAUGAUUGAGCUUAAUUAUUAUGAAUAAGAUUUGGCAAUUUAUAGGGUGUUGAAUGAAGCUGCUGGUGUUGAAUGGCGGGGUUGAAUGAAUAUGAUGGUGUUGAAGCUGCAACGCAAGCUAAGCUAUAUACAUAAGCGUCUCGGAAUAAAAUGUUUACGCGUCCAUGCAUAUUUGACGAAGAUUUGGUGAGUGUUGUCUCGGAAUAAAAUGCUUUCAUGUAAAAGUUUUGAAGAAGUUUUGAUUACUUUCAUGUAAAAGUUUAAAGAAGUUUUGAUUACUUUGUGUUCUUCAAACUUUUACAUGAAUGUGAACUUUUAAAUAUGAAGAACUUUUAAAUAUUUAAAACUUUUAAAUAUCGGAAUAAAAUGUAUUAAAACUUUUAAAAGUUUUGAUAUUUAAAAGUACUCUCAUCAUAUUUAAAACUUUUACAUGAAUGAGAGUACUUUUAAAUAUUAUGUAAAAUUUUUACAUUCAUGUAAAAGUUUUAAAUAUGAUGAGAGUACUUUUAAAUAUCAAAACUUUUACAUGAAUGAGAGUACUUUUAAAUAUUAUGUAAAACUUUUACAUUCAUGUAAAAGUUUUAAAUAUGAUGAUCUUAUUUCAGAGGCUGAACUGAAAAUAUGGCAGAGAUACGUGAUGAAUGAAGUGAACCACGCAUCUUCAUAACACAGCACAACACAACAACACUUGUUACUUUACUUCUAUCACUCACACUCACUCGCAUACUGCGUACACACAACACAAUACAAUUACAUAUAUAAAUGAAUAAACAAACCAAAAUCUUGGUUUCUUCACUCCUAUCACUCACACUUGUUACUUUACACAAACUCUUGGUUUCAGUUGGGCGCUGGAGAUGAGUGAUGAGAGAUAGAGCAUAGGGUUUCGAGCGACCGGGUAAAAGCACCGGCUAUAUCCGGUAAUAAUUGAACUAGAACUGUGCUGCUGAUAUUUCUGACAGGUUUUGGGGGCUUUUGUCCUUUUCUCUUUUAUAUAUAUAUAUAUAUAUAUAUGAUUUUGGGGGCUUAUUUAAUUAUUUUAAUCAAUUAAUUGGAGUAAAAUGGUGUUAUUAUGUGAGAAGGGGAUGUGAUGACGCACGUGAGCUAGUAGAACAGGCAAACAGAGUGUGAUGAAAGAAAGGCUGAUGACUGAUUGAGUUUUGCCGUUCUCAACACUCAUCCUUCCCACUUUUGAUUCUCGGUUUACAAUUCAAAAUUUUAUCUAAUAUUUACAACACUCAUCCUUCCCACUAAUCUUUAAUAUAUAUAAAAAAAAAAUUGACAUUAUAUCCCCUAAAAUGUGUAUAUUAUCCAGCUGCUUAAAACUUCAAAAACAAAAAAAUAAAAUAAAAUAAAACAUAACCUUCUCAAGUCAACUCUACUAUGACCAUUGGUUAAUACGACAUUUGGGGUCUCCAGGACCCUAUUACUACAACACUAACAGAUAUAAGUGCAUCCUACUAAAGUAGCUUAGUCAUUCUAAAUACAUGUAUUAAAAAGCAUAAUAUCUACAAAAAGGUAGCUUCCUAAGUUUACUAGGCCAGCGAUGCCAAAGCACAACCAGAACAGUAACAAAAAUAGACGAAAACGGUUCUUCAUUACAAAACACAACUUUCAAAAGAUGUAAUCUCCAUGUCAAACCCCAAAUCAAAAUCAAUCCUCCACUGACCACAAUACUUUUCACCAUCAUUGCCCAAACCUGAAGAGUAAGGGGUGAGCUAACGCACAGUAUGUAAUUACACACAACAAAGGAAUUUUUUUUUUUUUUUUAACACCCAAAUACUUCGGACAACUUCGGUACAUUUCUAACAUAAACCAUUUAUAUGUAUAUAAAUAUAUAUAUAAAAAAUAUUUAUUUCUUAAACUUUUUAAGUUUGAAAGUUGGUAUUCAACAGAAAUGUCAUAGGACAAGAUCAUAACAACAUACACACAUACAAAUAUAGUGGCACUCAUGCUUUCCGUAGUUACGUCUAAAGAAAUCCUAAAAUUACCCUUUCAAUAAUACAAAAUAAAAACAUGCCUGACACCAUAUCAUUGCAGGAUACAUAAACACAAUUCAGCUACACUUCCUAUUCCAAACUUGGCUAUAUCACCAUUAAAGUUUAAUUCUCAUUCAUGAAUGUAUCAACCAAAUUAACUAUGAUAACUGAUUCAAGUAAUAACAAUACACGGUCUUCAAUUAAAACUCGCAAUCCUGUUGAUAAUUCUAACGCAUCAAUUGUUUAUUUUAGCCACACAGUCAUGUAAUUAAAUGGCUACCCAUACACCCACUGCAUUAAUUAUUAAAGGAAGCAAUUAAGCCAUUAGCACAUUAAAUCUCAGCAAAACAACUUAUAAGGACCCAAAAAAAAAAUACAUGAUCAAGCAAGAAAAACAACCUGAUUUUUCAGUUUUGAGUAACAAAAGCACUCAAUUGCAUAUAAACACCUACUUUAAUCCUGCAACAACAGCUCCUAGUUCUCCAAAGACUUCUCUUCUUCUCUAACUCCGCUUCCUAUUGGUAAUACAAAAAUUAAUCAACCAUACUGCCAAUAAUUUAAGAAUCCCAAAUUUAACAUAAUCCUAAACUUGCUGUGAGUUGCAGCAGCAGAAAGGAAACAAUUAAGAAAAGUAAGUGAAAAAAAAAAAAACAUUAAUAAAAGUAACAAGAUUUGAAAAUUGAACCAUGCAUGCACAGAAAUUUACCCAAACCAGGUCUAAAGGAUUAGAGUUAUGAGAAAAUCCAGCCAAACUCAUGUUGGUUUCCCAGAAAUUUCAUACUUGCUGUUGUUCUCAGCUCCCUUAAAUGCACAACUAUUCUCUCUGAAACCCAAUUGCUCCCUUUCCCUCCUUUUCUUUAUCUUCGUCUUCUCUCUCUUUUUUUUUUAUUAUUUUUUUUUUUCAUUCUCUCUCUGUUAUUCCGAGGUAUCCGCCUUAUUGAGUAGAAUGCCUUCCGCUGUGGGUUAUCAACUGACCUUUAGUACCAAAAUGGGUUCUUCACAAAAAGAAUUACUUUCUCCCUCUUUUUUAUUUUUAUUUUUUUUAUUAUUAUUACCCGAACGUUGAUUUUGUUUGUUACAGAACAUAACCAAAGAAUAAAGACACCUUAUAAAUUGGUUGUGGGCUGGGCUUAGUUAUAGAUUAAAAAAAAAACAACAGGGGAAGCUUAGAGCAAUUAAAACAACGACAAUAAUAAUAAAAUAACAUAUAUAAUUAUAAAUAAAUAGAUAAAUUCAACCUAGGAUAAAUUUGGGGAGUUACUGCUGUAUUAUAACCAACAGACAAGAAUAAAAUAAAAAACAGAGUUAAAAAAGCUGAUAUAAUGAACCUUGCGGUCAAACGUUAGAUCUGACUUCUUCGAACGAACUAAAAGCCAACAAUGAAAAUUUCACAUAAAAGCAACCAGUAUACCUGCAAAAUAGUUAAAUUAAAAGUUUUCUGACUCGUUCAGCGGAGAUGCCAACAGUUUCCAAAAUUUUUUGUUGGACCUCGCAUUUAUAAAUUCUCAAAACUUCCUCCACCAAUCUGAAAACAUCACAGAAAACGAGCAACACCACAAUUAACUGUCUUUAAGUUGUAAAAAAGCUUCAAGCUUUGCACAUGUGAGGAUAUAGUGAGAAACCAAUCAUAGAACAUGUCACGAGCAAGGGCACAAGCAGAGGAAAGAUCUUGAAUGCCUCAGUGUGAUGAUAAUCAUCAUGAAACAAUAUCAACAGAUGUGAUUUAGGGAUACAUCUCAUAUAACAACCUUCAAAUGAUAUUAAUAUACAGCGAUAGAUCGAUAUAAAAUAAAUAACUUCAUAAAGAAAGGGUUUACAAUAGGGGGAAUGAAAAGAAUAUUGAGGUUAAAGGCUGAGCUCUGGUUACCGUUCUUUCAUUUGUAUGUAAAGCCUCUCAAAUUCUUUAGUCACAUCGUAAUAGAUUCUCCUAUAUGCAUAAUGAAUAAUGAUGUCAAAAGAAACCCCUGAACUUAGAAUUACUUCCACCUCUUUAUCUUCUUAGUUAUAAUAAGGCAUGAGUGAGCUUUUGGUAUAUUUAAUGAGAUAUAGAAAGGUAUUUACCCCCCUGUUAUCUCGCAACUCCAAAACCUGGUAAGUCUCUGGCCAAACCUGAAUUUAGAUGAAUGGACUUCAAACGAAAGGAUUUUCUUACAAAAGCUAAAAAAAUAUAACGGCAUGGUGAGAAUGGGAAAAUGAAAAUAGAAAGCAAAAGAAAAAGUUUCCAUCCGAUAAGACAAGUACAAAAUAAUCCAAGUUCUUAUUUGCCAUGCCAAUAUUAUUCAUGAAGAACUAAUCUGAUUUCUUUUCCAGAUAAGGUUAGUAACAAUUAAUCUGCAAAAUAACUGAACCAACUUGGUUAUUUUGACAUUACUCUUUCUCUUCUACGCUCAUUUUCUGCAUGGUUGCGGUUCAUCAACGGCCACGUUCACCAAAACGAGUCCACUCUCCCCACUUCACUUAUUUCCCCACCGUUAUGUCUCUCAAAGUGCAGCAGCAAGACAUGAACUCCUAUCAUUAUGAGCAAUAUAAAAAGCCCUCCUAAAAAUCCACCACCUGUUUGGCCAGAGAAACUCCAUUACUCAUUUCCACUCUCUCAAUUUUCAGCCCUUUCAUCAAAACACAAGCAUUACUUACCCAUGUUUAGACAUUAUUUAUUUUUCUGAUAUCACAUCAUUCGCCGGGGCGGGGGGGGACAAUUAACUGAUUUCAGCACAUAAAUUACAACAAGCUGGUCAAUUCACGUAAAUAAGGAAAAUUAACUCAAUCAAGUGAAGUAGGCACAAAAUGACCUCAAUGAGAUAUCAGAGACCUCUAAAAUCAAAUCAAAUUCAGUUAAACAAAGAAUCACUCAUGAAAGAUAAGCAAAAGAAAAAAAGCAAUGAAUAACAGAAAGAAAUUUCUUAUAAAAAUUCAAUAAAAUUAAAAAAAUUAGCUAAUCAUCUUUUCUGGUUAAGUGAUUUCGUCAGCAAAUAAGAGAAAAUAGAAAUUCUGGAAUAUACCUAGGGUUUCUAGCUUUGGGAAUUUACCUAAUGAGAAAUCAGUCUCUCUGUUUCUAGAUUUGUAACUAUCAUGGCCGAGCGACCACGAUCAGCUGAGAUAAUUGGAUUUUGCACCGGCGACGAUGCAAAUGUUUGGGGUUGGGUUUGGGUUUGGGUUUGACGAUAGACGAAGGAAUGUUAGGGCUUUGGGUGAUUUAAGGAUUUUAUUUAAUUCAAGUAAAGUGAAAAUAACUAAAGUAUCCCUAAGUUGGUUACGCAUUUUGAUGUCCAGAAUAGUUAA